AAUUGCACCCCUAUCAAGCCUCCUACAAUGGCUAAAUCUUCAAUCAUCUCCUUCUUAAUAUACCCAACCAUUUUCUCCUCCAACAAAACAAUCAAAACCCAAAAUGGAGAUCAGAUAAGAUCAAGUUUUAAGCCUUUUCUUUUUCUCCCCCUCUGCUCAUCAGCAAUAAUCUUCUGUCUUACAAAACCAAUAGAAAAGAAGCAUUAGUGAUGAACCCACAUCCCCCAACACUACAAAA
rnacentral:misc_RNA from 1 species